UUGGGAAUAUUGCGCAAUGGACGAAAGUCUGACGCAGCGACACCGCGUGUAGGAAGACGCCUUUCGGGGUGUAAACUACUUUUAUCUGGGAGAAUUAUGAUAGUACCAGAUGAAUAAGUGACGGCAAACUACGUGCCAGAAGCCUCGGUGAUACGUAGGUCACAAGCGUUAUCCGGAAUUAUUGGGCGUAAAGCGUGCGCAGGUGGUUACAUAAGUUUCUUGUUAAAUAUCUGGGCUCAACCCAGGGAUUGCAGGAAAGACUGUGAAACUAGAGGUCAGUAGAGGUGUGUGGAACUCUCGGUGUAGGAGUGAAAUCCGUUGAUAUCGAGGGGAACACCAAUGGCGAAGGCAGCACACUAGACUGAUUCUGACACUCAGGCACGAAAGCGUGGGUAGCGAAAAGG
rnacentral:rRNA from 1 species